rnacentral:rRNA from 1 species
UACGUAGGGGGCAAGCGUUAUCCGGAUUUACUGGGUGUAAAGGGAGCGUAGGUGGCAAGGCAAGUCAGAUGUGAAAACCCGGGGCCCAACCCCGGGAGUGCAUUUGAAACUGUCUGGCUAGAGUGCAGGAGAGGUAAGUGGAAUUCCUAGUGUAGCGGUGAAAUGCAUAGAUAUUAGGAGGAACACCAGUGGCGAAGGCGGCUUACUGGACUGUAACUGACACUGAGGCUCGAAAGCGUGGGGAGCAAACAGG